UUUACGGGGAAUGGUAGAAAGCAACAUCGCAGCAAUCUUUCGAUGCUAAUUUUCUAAAGCUGAAUCUGUCGAUGGAAGUUUUCUAAAAUCUAGAUCUAAUGGUAUGUAUCUAAUUUUCCCUACUUUUUACCGCGUGCGGCGUGCCUGCCUGAGCGCACACGCUCAACCGGCCAGCGCUCGUCCAGUUCUUCUCGGGAUGGCCGGGCACGCCGGCGGCGGAGCUGGCCCGCGCGCCGGAGCCGGUCGCCUCCUGCCCCAAAUUCGGUGCCUCCUCCUCCAUCCUCCCUGCUCGCUGCCUUGAGUUCGACGGCGGCCGGUGGGCGGGCCUCCUCCUCAAUCCUCGCUCGGCAGCGCUAGUGGAGUCCUCCAUGGGGACAUGGCGGCGACGGCCAUGGCGCGUCCCUUGCUCCCUCCCCUUCUCCUCCGCCGCCCGCACGACUCCACGCCGUGCCGCCCCCAUGGCUGCUCCCUCUCCCUCUCUCCGGCUCCUCCUCCGCCACCGGCCGCCGCCUCAGGUCCUCCGCCGCCAACGAGCCGCGCCGACCGUCCCCUCCUCGCCCCUCGCCGCCGCGCCAUAGCAGCGGGCCGUGCCCCACAUCACCCCCUCGUCGUCGCAUCAUGGCAGUGGGUCGUGCCCCGCCUGGUUCCUCGUCGCCGCGCCACCCUCCUCCCCCCUCCCUCGCGUCGCGCCUUUCCAGGGAGGAGGGAGUGCCGGGAGGAGGGGCCCGGCGAGGGAGUGGGUGGCGGCGAGGAAGCCGGCCGGCCAGGGAGGAUGGAGAGCCGGGAGAAGGGGCACCAGGGAUGAGGGAGCGCGUGGCAGGCCCUAUGGCGAGUGCGGCAGGCCCCCAUGACCACGACGCCUCCUCUCCGGCGAGAUUCGGCCACCCCGGAAGACGUUGGUGCAACUUGUCGCCCCCACGAGCUUCCACUCACCGAGGCGCACCUGCCCCGCCUCACCUCCCAACGCGGCAGUGGCCCGCGCGGGGCCAUGGCGGCGGAUGCGGCGGCGGGAGGCACGGCGCGAUCUGCGCGGCGGCAACGCUCCAAGCCCCGGCGGCGGCCGGAUCCGGCUGAUCUCCGAGCUCCGCGGCCGGAGCUCUAGCGCGGGAGCAUUCAUGAGGAUUUUCCUACCUGAGAUUCGCAUUUAUCUCUUGGUUUUACAGUUCGAAUCAAGCUAGAAGGGAGUACUCCUCGCACUAGGGAUUUCCCAAAACUGCCUCCUAAAAUGGUUUGUUUCCCACCCAGAUCGAUUCACUCUGCAGUGGAUUUGUUUUCAGUUACAUUAGGGCUUUUCGUAUGCGGGUGUUGCCUCUUCAAAAGAGCAUCCUGCCUUUUGAUUCCCCAUGUCCUCCCUGGUACUUUUUAAUUUUUGUCCUCUUCAAAAGAGCAUCCUGCCUUUUGAUUCCCCAUGUCCUCUUCAAAAGAGCAUCCUGCCUUUUCAUUUACGAAUGUUUAAAUGCUAAACGUCUUACUCAGUGUCGGUUAGAUCUGCUCUCUAGCGCAUUUUAAUUUUUGCUAGAUACAUUCUCUUACCAGGGUACCAUUUUCUCUGUUCUUCUGCAGAUAUCAUUUCCAUUAACUAACCUUUACCACUUCUCUUUUUUUUUUCUAUUUUACUUGCGGCUUCUACCAUUUCCUUUGGAGAAGGACGCCUCACCACCUCACUGAAUGCUGCGAUUAAGAGUCUUGCAUUGCAGGUGUUUCGUUUUUUAGUGAGAAACAGGCGUGUCAGGUUAAUCCCAUCAGUAUACAAACAGCUGGUUUACAAAAAAAAA